CAGCCGAUUCGGGCGUCCUCUCGAGAAGACCGCGACCACUAAUGCAAUAAAAGAGAUAAGGAACCUUCAGUCUCUAGGUUGCUGUUGACACAGUAUCUCAAGGUUUACUGGAUUUUACAUAGAAAGUCAUUUUGCUCUAAUUUGGAGCAUCAGCUACACACUCAUCCAAGGAAAGGAAGGUAUGAUGACAAGGUUGAUUGUUGUUUAAUCUCAGCCAAACAUUUGAUGAGUUACCAUUAUGGGAGGAUCAGAUUCAUUAGCUAGCUACAUUAGCAUGGCCCCAAUGGCGGUGCUGGAGCUACCACUGUGUGCGCCUCUGCCAUGCCAGCCUGAUGUUGUACAUGCUGAUCAACGUGAUGUUGUCAGCCACCCAGAUUUUGUGCAGUUAGCUCGGCAACUUCCAGUGCCCCGCCGCCUUUCUUGACAGCCACGGACCCAGUGUUUCAUCUACGCCUGAUGUACUUCCGUCGUAUAUAAUAUUAGAUAUACACAAUCAUAGAUGCAUAUAUGAUCUUCCACCUUGGCUCAUGUACUGAUAAGAUUUGUGUUGAUACAUAAUUCUCAACAAAGUGUAAUACCAAUUUCUUUCACGAAAA